AUUGAACGCUGGCGGCAGGCUUAACACAUGCAAGUCGAGCGGGGGAGGUUGCUUCGGUAACUGACCUAGCGGCGGACGGGUGAGUAAUGCUUAGGAAUCUGCCUAUUAGUGGGGGACAACAUUCCGAAAGGGAUGCUAAUACCGCAUACGCCCUACGGGGGAAAGCAGGGGAUCUUCGGACCUUGCGCUACUAGAUGAGCCUAAGUCGGUUUAGCUAGUUGGUGGGGUAAAGGCCUACCAAGGCGACGAUCUGUAGCGGGUCUGAGAGGAUGAUCCGCCACACUGGGACUGAGACACGGCCCAGACUCCUACGGGAGGCAGCAGUAGGGAAUAUUGGACAAUGGGCGGAAGCCUGAUCCAGCCAUGCCGCGUGUGUGAAGAAGGCCUUUUGGUUGUAAAGCACUUUAAGCGAGGAGGAGGCUCUUAAGGUUAAUACCCUUGAUGAGUGGACGUUACUCGCAGAAUAAGCACCGGCUAACUCUGUGCCAGCAGCCGCGGUAACAC
rnacentral:rRNA from 1 species